GAUGAACGCUGGCGGCGUGCCUAAUACAUGCAAGUCGAGCGAACAGACGAGGAGCUUGCUCCUCUGACGUUAGCGGCGGACGGGUGAGUAACACGUGGAUAACCUACCUAUAAGACUGGGAUAACUUCGGGAAACCGGAGCUAAUACCGGAUAAUAUAUUGAACCGCAUGGUUCAAUAGUGAAAGACGGUUUUGCUGUCACUUAUAGAUGGAUCCGCGCCGCAUUAGCUAGUUGGUAAGGUAACGGCUUACCAAGGCAACGAUGCGUAGCCGACCUGAGAGGAUGAUCAGCCACACUGGAACUGAGACACGGUCCAGACUCCUACGGGAGGCAGCAGUAGGGAAUCUUCCGCAAUGGGCGAAAGCUUGACGGAGCAACGCCGCGUGAGUGAUGAAGGUCUUCGGAUCGUAAAACUCUGUUAUUAGGGAAGAACAAAUGUGUAAGUAACUAUGCACGUCUUGACGGUACCUAAUCAGAAAGCCACGGCUAACUACGUG
rnacentral:rRNA from 1 species